GUUGGUAGAGCAUGCGACUGAAAAUCGCAGUGUCGGUGGUUCGAUUCCGCCCCCUGGGCACCA
rnacentral:tRNA from 1 species